AUGCUGUCAAUGAAAAAAAUCACCCAAAUUGCUUCAGUGCUUCAAUCACCCCCAUUGACUAAACAUUGGCGCAGUGAGGAAAAACAUGCGUUGAACUUUCCUGAGGAAACUCCAGUUGUGGUGUUGCCUUGGCUUGUGCAUUUGGCACUCAUAAUGGAUGGGAUACUGACUUUCAUCCUAGAGGCACUGCUCCAUAUUUGGAUGAUAUCUACUGCUACCACAUGGGACAUUGUCAGCUGGACCGAUUUUUCUCUCUCCAUUUGAGCAGUAUUUUUAGGAUCUCCCGAGAUAACUUUGUUCAACGACUUCCCACCAGACAGGAUAUUUAAUGCAAUUAUUUCUCUCUACAUUGGCCUCAAACUGAACUUUAGCACAGACAUUCUUAUCAACUCACUUUAAAAAAAUUUUUUUUUUAUUGGAGUUCAAUUUGCCAACAUAUAGCAUAACAUCCUCAACUCACUUUUGAAUUCAAACUGGCCAUUCAUUUGGUGUUUCUCUUUCUUUGUCACAUUAUUAAAAUCCUAAGUUCCUGUGGUCGAAAAUCUCACCACAAUAUGCAGAAGUAGGAAGCACUAGAACAGUGUAAGUGAAAUAUCUCUAGCCUUGUGCUUUGCUUGCCUUCUAAGAGUUAACUUUAACAUGAAGGAUUUGGCACCACGGUGUGUCCUAACAUCCUCAAUUGACAGAAGGUAAUAGGGUGAUAAUAGAUAGAUUCAGGCCAAGAAGAUUUUCCUACUGUUAUCAAUUCAAUUUCAGUGAAGGAAGUUUCAGUGGCAAUCAUAUUGCUCCCACUCCUUCUCUAUCAAGGAAUGAGUACAAUUUAGAUAGUUUGCCUAAGAGUAAAAUAAUAUCAACAAAUGUAAAACCAGCCCAAUACUCUCAUUUUCUUGGCGAGGCACAUCAAGAUAUGCUAGCGAGCUGUCAGAGGCUGUAAAUCUAGCUAAUCUCCCUUGUAGCGCUUUCUAAUCUUUCUCUUCAGCUCAGAGAAGAACCAUGUCCCCUGCUAAUUCUAUGUUAGGUUAAUUGGAUUGGCUGUGUAAUAUUCAAUUGAGAUUACCUCCAUAAAAUUUAUUUGUAAAUUUUAUUCCUUAAGUAGUGACAGAGUGAGAUAGUCCUUUUUUUUUUGGACUUACUGCAGCUAACAUCCCCCUAAAGGUGAAAAUAUGUUUAAGGCAUUUGGAUUUAUUAAGGAAAGAAAAAUAUAGUCACAAAACGGAAAAAGAAGAGAGAGAGAAAGAGACACAGAGAGAGGGAGGCAACAACAUCACUUAGCUUCUAAAGUGAGGGUUGGAUUUUGGAUGACCUGUAAGGAAGCUACUUCCUGAAUCUUUUCAUCAUAGACUCCUAGGGCCUCAAGACAUGCUGAGUGGUGUGAAUGACACAAAGGAGGGAGGAACUGCAUUUUCAAUACAGUAUCCAUAGCCGUUUCCAAGCUCCCCUCACACUGCAUUAGAUGACCUGCAGCAGACAAUUAGAGGGACUCAUGGAAUGACUCUGGGGGAGGAGUUCCUGCAUUAUUCUCCAGCCCUGGGACACAGUGGCAGGGACUGUGUGACAGAUCUGGUGUGGGGAGGGGCAAUAUGAUUCCCUGCAGCAGCCCUGUUGCAAUGGCUAGUGGAUAGAAGUCCAGACACUGGAGCCAGCCUUUAGCUCCAGUAGGCAGUAAGGUCUUCAGAAGUCACAUAGUCUUCUCUGCUUUCCUAUCUAUCCAGUGGGGAUAAAAAAUGCCUGCCUCAUAGGAUGAUUUUGAGAAUUUAAUGAGAUAAUAUAUAAUUAGGCUAGUGCCUACCAUGUAAGAAGCAUUCAAUAAUUGUUAACUUUUUUUUUUUUUACACUCUUCUCUCAAACCCAGAGUCUCAGGGGACUGGUGUUGGAGAUGGCCAUAAGUUGUCUCAUGAGAAAGGAAAAGAGAGUGAGUGCUAAGAGAGUGAGUGCUGGGGCCUUGGAGAGAAGGAUGAAGCACCACUCUCCCACCUAGGGAUGGGCUGGUACUGGUCAUUUAACCUAUACAGAGAAUGCUCAUUUGCCAACUAAUUUCUUUCUUUUUAUUUUAUUUUAUUUUAUUUUAUUUUAUUUUAUUUUAUUUAUUUUUAUUAUUUAUUCAUGAGAGACACAGAGAGGUAGGGACAUAGGCAGAGGGAGAAGCAGACUUCCCGCAGGAAGCCCGAUGUGGACCCCAUCCCAGGACCCCAGGAUCCAUGACCUGAGCCAAAGGCAGAUGCUCAACCACUGAGCCACCCAGGUGCCCUUCAUUUGCCAACAAAUAUCUAUUUCUAAAUCCUCAAGGCAAUGGAAUCUAAUGUUUAAAAUGUGAUUAGAGCUGGUGUAGUUGAGCAAGGAAAAGCAUCAUGUUCCCCCUACUUGUGUAGGUGUGGUAAUGGCAUAGGGUAAGGGCUAAUGGAACAGACUUUGGAGCUGAAGUGUCUAGCUGAAUAACCAGCUCCACCAAUUACUGGCCAAGUUCAUUGGCAAGUUAUACAACAUCUCUAUGCAAUGGUUUCCUCUUCUGGGAAAUGGGGAUAAUAAUAGUAUCUGCCUUGUCGUAUUGUUAUGAUUAUUAAGUGAGUUAAUAACUGAAAGCAGCGCAAAUGUUUUUAUGGAAUAUAGUAAGUGCUAUACCCACAUCUAUAGCUAAAGAUUUUACAGCAGUCGUAAUUUCCAUGUGAAUUUAUUAUCUGCAACUUCAGAUCUUUAGAGGAGUUUAGGUUGGAAGUAUUCCCCAGUGCGGCAGUAUUUCUGAAUAACCUUGAGUUUGGAUUUCUGAUUCUAGAACUAUGUACACAGUGAGUGUAUGUGAUUCACCGGUGACUGUUUAAUGUGUUUCCCAAAGAGGGAAAUCGAAAGAGAGGAAGAAGGGAGAGGCAACUCUGCCUAGUGAAAAUGAACCAGAUGGUUAGAGAGAUGCAUAAAACACUUUCAGGAGGCAGGAAAGAGGAAAAUGAUCAGAAGAGGAUCAAUAAAAGGUAAGAUGAGUACCAAAGCUGGGCAAGGGGACUAUUUGGUGAAGUGGCUUAAACCAGUUUGGGAUGCUGGGAGACAGAGUUGCUAAUAAGAUGGUAGCAUACGCAGCAAGGCAUACGCUUGCCCCCUCUCCCACUCCUCCCUCCCGUGAUGCCUUUAUAUUUUUAGGCUGUGGGGUUGGAAUGAUGAAUGCCCAAGUGGAAAUAAUGUUGGAAGGAGAUUUUUCUUGGCAAAAUGGCAGUAAGGGCUGCCAAGUAUUUUCUAAGAUGUAAACAAAUCAUCCUCCUUCAUCAGGGAAAGAUUAACACAUAUUAUUCCCGAGUCAAUGUGGGAUUUUCACCUUCUGCAAUUUGCAAUUUGAAUUCUACCCAUCAUCAUGGGUUUUUACAACCUCCUGUGCAUUAAGCACUCCAUUGCUCUGAGAAAUCAUUGGUGUUCCAGCUGCUAGAAUCAAAUAAUCAGGCACAAGUCAGGAAAUAAAAAUUUUCUACUCAAGAUAAGCAAGUUAUGGGGUACAGUGGCAAUGGUACCAACUUGGGAUUUGAGUUUUCUCCUGGUUAGGCCACCAACUACUCCUCUGUGUAUCUCUACUUUCGUAGUUCUAGGAGAGGAGUAUGGGAUUAAGUGAUAUUUAAGAUUUCUUCUGGCUCUGAAUCCUAUGAUCUGUGUGAUUCUAGGCUACUCUGGGCAGAAAGUAGCUUUGUCUUUAUAUUCAUGAUACAAACUUUCCAGAAUUUCAGAACAUUCCUCUCCCAUUUUUUGGAAUGUCCCUUUCUCCCAAGGUCACACUGUGAAAACUUU
rnacentral:lncRNA from 1 species